rnacentral:ncRNA from 1 species
AAUUGGAAUGAGUACAAUCUAAAUCCCAUAUCAAGGAUCCAUUGGAGGGCAAGUCUGGUGCGAGCAGCCGCGGUAAUUCCAGCUCCAAUAGCGUAUAUUUAAGUUGUUUCAUUUAAAAAUUUCGUAGUUGGACCUUGGACCUACUCGACCCUUCGGCCGGCAUCGCGCUCCUAGCCUUAAUUGGCCGGGUCGUGUUUUCGGCAUCGUUACUUUGAAGAAAUUAGAGUGCUCAAAGCAAGCCAUCGCUCUGGAUACAUUAGC